ensembl:rRNA LOC120093275 5S ribosomal RNA
GUCUAUGGCCAUACCACCCUGAACGCGCCUGAUCUCGUCUGAUCUUGGAAGCUAAGCAGGGUCGGGCCUAGUUAGUACUUGGAUGGGAGACUGCCUGGGAAUACUGGGUGCUGUAGGCU